CUCGCCUUUCCGCUCGACCUCUCCAGGUUGUCGAUGGGCAGCAAACGGAAAUGGGCGAAUAUAAUUAUUUUUGGACGUAAAAGUUAGCACACGAGCAGCGUGACAUCCUGUGCGUGGUGUACCUCCAGAGCCACACCGAUCUACCUCUGCACACACUGCAUCUGCGUCAGCCUUGAGAGCAUGCAGUCCUUUAGACACUGGCAUUUACCUCACAGUCUGCGUGGCAGCUCCGCGUCGCACUGGCAUUGAUACUGCUGGGAACUGCUGCAAGCACUAAUAAAUCAGGAGCACGUGAAUUGCCAGGGAGGCAGCAGCAGCAAGAACUGCCUUGAGAAACAGCAGAAUGAAAGAGAUGCAAGGUGCCCAGAUGAGGCUGAAAUGGAUCACUCGAUGACAAAGCUGAAGUGCGAGCAGUCGGAGAAAUGAAUCAAAGGAUGGAAUGCUCCUUGCCAAUUUCUGUUUCCUUACUUCACUACUGAGAACAGUAAAUCAGCUCACAGUUACCACUGUCCUUCUCCACCGUGUACGCUGCCACUUCAACUACAGGUUUCCACUACCAUUGAACAUACAUCAAAGAAACAGUCAGGAGCAUUAUAAAAAAGAGUAUAUACAUUUCAAAAAUUUCUUUUCCAUUCUCUCUUUUAAUUUUAAUAUUCUGCAAAAACUCCUAAGGAAUACUGGACUGUAAAAUAGCUUGAAGAUCUAUCAUGAUCAUUUGUGAUAUUUUUAUCUUUGCUAUUGUUUUUGUGUCAUAUUAAGAAUCAAAUUUUCAAGGCUUGCCAAAAGAAAUGUGUAGGUUUCUGCCUGGACUUGGAAAAAUACUUUGGCAGGUAAAUAUGGCAAGUAAAUAUGCUGAAACAGGGCACGCCUACCUCUCACUGGUAUUUCUGGAAGAGGCAUUUACCCUGAACAUGAUUUUAGAAAGAAGCUUGACCCUUAGUGUGUUUGGGAAUCUACGUGCCUUGAACAAACUGCUCUCAUUUUACUGAAGGUGAAUAAUUCCCGAGGUUUGCUUAGAAAUUUAAGACAUACCACAGUAGAAGUAUUGGAGAACAUGCAGAAUAUGUAAUCAUUUUUUAAAAAGAGAUUGACAGACACUGUGACCUUUCUCGGUCGACAUCAUCUGACAUCUUAUUGGAAAAAAAUCGCAGUAAAUGAACUGUGUGUGAGAGAGGUGGAGGGCUGGAAGGUGUUCCAGCACGGGUUUGGGAGGGCAGGUCACGGUGCAUGGUUUGCUGCAUGGAUCUGCCAGCACAGGCAGAUCCCAGUGGCAGAAUCUGACAAAUUGGCAAACAAAUCCACUGCGUUGUGGGGGAGAUAAGCAGCAGUGUGAUGAGACAUAAAAAGUCAGUAACGUCAGAAUUGUGGUCCGGGAAUAGCAUAGCUGCUGUUAUUUUGUAUAUACUCGAUUGAGGGGGGGAUAUGCGUAACAGAUGGCCUGAAAACAGCAGUUUUGAAUUAAUCAGGAUGCAAGAUUAUGAGGAUGUAGAUGACAGAUUUAGUGUGUAGAUGGUGAAAAACUAGAUAUGAGAAGCAUUACAGUGGAAGGAGUAGCAAGCCUUGCUUGUAGGCUUAGAAUUGAGUCGGAAAGGUCUUCUGGAGGUCAUCAAAUCCAUCCCGUUGUUCAGAGCAGGGCUGGCAUUCAAGUCACAGAGGGCCUUCUCCGGAUGAAUUCUGUCUUCAAGGAUGAAUCAUAGAAUUACAGAAUCACCGUGGUUGGAAAAGGCCU